AAACAAAUAUAUAUGUAAAUAUAAAAAUAAGAAAAUAUACACGUGGGAAAGAAAAUUUGAGAAUUAAGAAGAAACGGAUUUGAAUAUCAAAAGUUUUAGUGAAAUCAGUUUAGUAGAAAGUUUUAAAACGUUUUUCAACUUCCCGCAAAAAAAAUUGGAAAUUUUCAAAAAAUAGGAAAGUAAUUGGUUUCGGUCCGGUUUUCGAAAACCGAGUUUUCAACAGAUCUCGGCGUUUUAAGGCCUUAGGAAGCUAUCCUGACUAUUUUCAAGAGGAAGUCCGAGUGUAUAUAUGUGUGUUUCGUCUUAGAAUGUACAGCAGGUGCACUUGUUUCGCUUGUACGCUGUCUCUGACGUUUUACAAAUUCAUAAAGAAGAUAGGCUUGGAAC